rnacentral:rRNA from 1 species
AUUAACGCUGGCGGCAUGCCUAAUACAUGCAAAUCGAACGAAGCCUUUUAGGCUUAGUGGUGAACGGGUGAGUAACACGUAUCCAACCUACCCUUAAAGUUGGGGAUAACCCAGUCGAAAGAUUAGGCUAAUACCGAAUAAUAACAUCAAUAUCGCAUGAGAAGAUGUAGAAAGUCGCGUUUUGCGACGCUUUUGGAUGGGGGUGCGACGUAUCAGAUAGUUGGUGAGGUAAUGGCUCACCAAGUCAAUGACGCGUAGCUGUACUGAGAGGUAGAACAGCCACAAUGGGGACUGAGACACGGCCCAUACUCCUACGGGGAGGCAGCAGUAGGGAAUUUUCACAAUGGGCGCAAGCCUUAUGAAGCAAUGCCGCGUGAACGAUGAAGGUCUUAUAGAUUGUAAAGUUCUUUUAUAUGGGAAGAAACGCUAAGAUAGGAAAUGAUUUUAGUUUGACUGUACCAUUUGAAUAAGUAUCGGCUAACUAUGUGCCAGCAGCCGCAGUAAU